rnacentral:rRNA from 1 species
CGACCGGCGCACGGGUGAGUAACACGUAUGAAACCUGCCCGUAGCAGGGGGAUAAGCGGAAGAAAUUCCGUCUAAUACCGCGUAACAACCCAUGGAGGCAUCUCUGUGGGUUUAAAGGAAGCGAUUCCGGCUACGGAUGGUCAUGCGUCGCAUUAGCUUGUUGGCGGGGUAACGGCCCACCAAGGCGACGAUGCGUAGGGGUUCUGAGAGGAAGGUCCCCCACACUGGUACUGAGACACGGACCAGACUCCUACGGGAGGCAGCAG